AUGGGGAGGAUGAUGUUAUAAUUCAACGUUAGAUCAAGUUUGAUCAACGUCCCCCUGCUGGCCCAAUUGGAUGAUCCUUAUUCACAAUAAGAUCCGCUUUUCGCUCCACCACCAUCUUUGAGAUAAGUCUUUGCCUUUUCCCCUCUCAACGGCAUAAGAUUCGCUCUGCUGCAGUUCCGCUCGCACCUCAACGUACCUGUAGUAUAUCACUGGUAGUACACAGUGAGAGCUGCUUACACAUCUGGCGGAUUUUCUGUGCGCAUAGGCUUGUGUACAUGGUUUUCCUAUAUCAGAUUCGUUUGAGGAGUUAAAUUCAGAGGCCGGAGAAAAUGAGGCAUCGCGUAAUAGCCAUUGUCCUUUUUUUGUUGUGGCUUUUUGGGAAAUCGCAUGGAGCGUUUCCAAACCAGAUAAAUAUAGGUGGUCUCUUUAUGCGCUCUACAGUGCAGGAGCACAGCGCUUUCAGAUUCGCUGUCCAGCUGUAUAAUACCAAUCAAAAUGUGACGGAAAAACCUUUCCAUCUCAAUUACAAUGUAGACAAUCUCGAAUCCUCUAACAGCUUCUCCGUCACACAUGCGUUCUGCUCCCAGUUCUCCAGAGGAGUGUACGCCAUCUUCGGCUUCUACGACCAGAAGUCCAUGAACACGCUGACCUCGUUCUGUGGGGCUCUGCACACCUCCUUCAUCACACCCAGCUUCCCCGCCGAUGCCGAUGUGCAGUUUGUCAUCCAGAUGAGGCCUCCUCUACGGGGAGCUGUCCUCAGCCUGCUGGCCCACUACAAGUGGGAGAAGUUUGUCUACCUCUACGACACUGAGAGGGGUUUCUCUAUCCUCCAGGCCAUCAUGGAGUCAGCGGUGGCCAAUAACUGGCAGGUUACGGCCCGGUCGGUGGGCAGCAUAGUAGACCCCACAGAGUACAAACGCAUCAUAGAGGAGAUGGACCGUAGGCAGGAGAAACGCUUCCUCAUCGACUGUGAAGUGGGAAGAAUCAAUGCCAUCCUGGACCAGGUGGUGACCCUGGGGAAGAACAGCAGAGGCUACCACUACCUCCUGGCUAACCUGGUUUCACUGCAGGGCUUCGCUAACAUGACCCUGGACAAGGUGUUUGCUGGAGGAGCCAACAUAACAGGCUUCCAGAUCAUCAACACAGAGAACCCAAUAGUCAUACAGUUCCUCCAGCGCUGGGAACGCCUAGACGAGAGGGAGUUUCCUGAGGCUAAGGGCACUCCACUGAAGUACACGUCAGCGCUGACCCAUGAUGCCGUGUUGGUACUAGCAGAGGCCUUCCGGUACCUGCGGAGGCAGAGGGUGGACGUGUCCCGGAGGGGGAGCGCUGGGGACUGCCUGGCCAACCCAGCCGUACCUUGGAGCCAAGGCAUUGACAUAGAGAGAGCACUCAAAAUGGUCCAGGUACAAGGUAUGACAGGGAAUAUCCAGUUUGACUCGUUCGGUCGGAGAGCCAACUACAGCGUUGAUGUGUAUGAGAUGAAAGUAGGGGGGCCCAAGAAGACCGGGUACUGGAAUGAAUACGAAAAAUAUGUAUAUAUUGUGGAUGCGCAGGUCACCAACGAGUCCUCUUCUGUGGAAAACCGAACGAUUGUGGUCACUACUAUUAUGGAGUCUCCUUAUGUGAUGUACAAGCGAAACCACUUGUCGCUGGAGGGGAAUGACAGAUAUGAAGGCUACUGUGUCGAUUUAGCUGCCGAAAUUGCAAAACAUGUGGGGAUAAGAUACAAACUGUCAGUAGUUGCGGACGGGAAGUAUGGUGCAAGGGAUCCAGAGACCAAGACGUGGAACGGGAUGGUGGGUGAACUGGUAUAUGGGAGAGCCGAUAUAGCAGUGGCUCCUCUAACUAUAACAUUGGUACGAGAGGAGGUGAUAGACUUCUCUAAGCCUUUUAUGAGCCUGGGGAUCUCCAUUAUGAUAAAGAAGCCUCAAAAGUCAAAGCCGGGCGUGUUCUCCUUCCUGGACCCGCUGGCCUAUGAGAUCUGGAUGUGUAUAGUAUUUGCCUAUAUCGGCGUGAGCGUGGUGCUCUUCCUGGUCAGCCGCUUCAGCCCCUAUGAGUGGCAUCUGGACGAAAACGACGAGGCCAAAGACCCCCAGAGCCCUCCAGACCCACCAAACGACUUUGGGAUUUUUAAUAGCCUGUGGUUCUCCCUGGGCGCCUUCAUGCAGCAAGGAUGCGAUAUCUCGCCAAGGUCUCUGUCGGGCAGAAUCGUGGGGGGUGUGUGGUGGUUCUUUACCCUCAUCAUCAUCUCCUCCUACACGGCCAACCUGGCUGCCUUCCUCACAGUGGAGAGGAUGGUGUCUCCCAUAGAGAGUGCUGAGGACCUGGCCAAGCAGACAGAGAUUGCCUACGGAACCCUAGACUCAGGCUCCACUAAGGAGUUCUUUAGGCGCUCCAAAAUAGCAGUUUAUGAAAAAAUGUGGUCUUACAUGAAAUCAGCUGAACCGUCAGUGUUCGCCAAGACCACACCAGAAGGGGUUGCCCGAGUGCGAAAGUCGAAAGGCAAAUUCGCCUUUCUUCUUGAAUCCACAAUGAACGAGUACAUUGAGCAGCGGAAACCUUGUGACACCAUGAAAGUUGGCGGCAACCUCGACUCUAAGGGAUACGGUGUGGCAACACCUAAAGGCUCAGCAUUAAGAACUCCUGUAAACCUUGCCGUAUUGAAACUCAGUGAACAAGGCAUCUUAGACAAGCUGAAAAACAAAUGGUGGUACGAUAAGGGUGAAUGUGGAACCAAGGACUCUGGAAGUAAGGUCAGUCGCUGCAGGUCUUUUUAUACUGAUUGCAAAUUGCAUUUUGACCUAAUUGUUCAUAUGCAAAUGCGUAAAUACCAUACAUUUUCAAAAACAUAUUUUUUCUUCAAUUUUUUUAUUUUUGUUUUCCUUUUCAUAGAAUGCAAGUGAAAACAGUCUAAACAAUAUCCAUCCCAUAGUUUGCCUUACACAUACUUCAUUAUCCACAAUACUGUCGACAUUAUUAGUGUUUACAUUACUAUUAUAAUAAUAAUAAUGAUUAUUCCUAAGAUCUCAUCACAUAGUUUAGACAUACAGUAUGUAUUGAUAGUUGAAAAGGUGUAGCAUGCCUUGGAAAAAUGUAAGAUUACAUAUGUAUUCAUUCUUACCAUAGACAAAUGACAACCAUUGAAUUGUAACCAUUUAUGCUACAGUUUUGUUAACCAAACUUUUGGUUGAAAUAUUGUUUAUUAGUGUCCUUACUUAUUUGCGUGCUAAUUGAGUAUAUUGAAUCUAUUAACAUUAUGCAGUUUGACUUCAAGCUUCCUUACUCUGAGAAACUCCAAACUAACUUUCAAACUCCAGAUGGUCAUACAGUGAUCAGAUGGAAUCUGAAGGUCAUGUUUGAACUGUGGAAUGUCACAAUAAGGAGAUUUUGUUUGCACACUUCAUGAAGUUAAAGGAUCUAAUAUAAACCAGUUAUUUAACCCUCUGAGAUAGUCAGAGGAAAGGACACAGGCCCUGUAGCCAACGUCAGGGCUCCCCUAUGAUAGUCUACAAAACACACUUUAAAGGACACACUCAUAGGGUUAAAAUGCAAAUGGUAAAACUCUUAUAAAUGAAUUUCAAUAUCUAAGAUUGGAUGUUAGUAGCAGAAAAAUGGUUCAAUUCACAAUUCCUAUAGCUUGCCACUUUGAUUGAAAUUGUGAGAUACAGUCAGAUAAUGGUACAUUUGAAAAACUACAGUAUCAUAGUGAAGUCAGGGCCUAUCAACAGUUUUUCGACCUGUACGACAUUGACCACCUUCCUUUAGGGUGGCCUCGUAAAUGAGCUACAGAGUAGGGUAGAAAAAACCUUUUUCUCGACAUUCACCAAUCCAGCUAUGUUAUUAACUACCUGCAGAGUUGAACCACCUCUCCUGCUAUUGUUGAGGGUUGACUGACCUACCAGACAGUCCCAAGUUGCUCCCAGCUUUCCACUGUUGUAGGGAAGUCAUUCAGCAGGUCAGCCUCUGCCGUUUACCUCAGUACUACCCCACAGUAGGCAUGUCUCCAUGGGAUUCACUGCCUACACAGUUGAUAAAACCAUACAGAGUUGUUAGGGUAAUCCAUUAGAUCACUAGGCUGUGUUUACACAGGCAGCCCCAUUCUUAUAUUUUUUUGACCAAUCACAUCAGAGAUUUUCACGUCAGCUCUUUUUCAGCGCUGAUCUGAUUGUUCGAAACGCCAAUUAGUGAAACGAUCAGAAUUGGGCUACCUGUGUAAACACAGACUAAUAGUGGGGGUGUCGUUUACAUUAGAGCUGGAUUUGAGUCAGAAGCCUCUUUGGGAGAUUUUGCCUGUCUUGUUAGAUCAGGUCACAACCAAAAUGUCUGUAAAAAAUUCUUAACAUUGUUCUUUACCUUCCCCAGGACAAGACAAGCGCUCUAAGCCUGAGCAAUGUGGCGGGAGUCUUCUAUAUUCUGGUUGGAGGGCUAGGGCUGGCUAUGACCGUGGCUUUGAUAGAGUUCUGUUAUAAGUCACGGGCAGAAACCAAAAGACUGAAACUGGCUAAGAAUGCCCAAAACUUUAAACCAGCUCCUCCGGCAAACACCCAGAAUUUUGCCACGUACCGAGAAGGAUAUAAUGUGUAUGGAACAGAGAGUGUUAAAAUCUAGGGGGAAGGUACAGUCACUCUGGAGGAAUACAACCCGCAAUGGCUGGCACCCUGGAGGCGACAGACAUGGUCAUCAGCUUGGACCCAAACCCACAGUCAACAAAUGCCCAUCUUGGGAUGCCAAACCUGGCACGAUAAUCAACGACAGUGACACAAUAGGACUUGUUUAUUGAAAUAUGGGACCUGCCUCUCUUAGUGCCUUACGGAGCAUUCAGCGCCUCAGCAAUGCAGCUCCAUUUUGGUUCACUUGAAAAUACAGAAUCAAAAAAUAAUAUAGGGGAGGAAAGAAAGAAAACAUUGAUACUGUUGUAAUCUAUAUACGUGGGAAAGUUUUUGUUGAAUUAUUUUGAAGAAAAAAAUGCCAUUACUUGCCAUUAAGAAACUUAUCCCAGAGAACAUUUUAAGUCAUUUCAAUCCUUUACAGGCAUAUUUUAGUGGUAAAACAUUGACAAAAAUGUUUUGUUUUAUUUAACGUACUAGUCAUCUGCCUAUUUUACUAUACAAUUAUGUUCAAUGUCAUAUAAUAAUCUAAGAUAAACUUCAAUCAAUAGGAUAGGAUCAAUAGAAAAUGACAAUAUUGUACCCUCAUUCUGUAUUUUAAAGAUUUGCAUCAUUUGAAACCAUUGGUUAUUCAAAAUGUCUUAGGUGCUGUCAAUUUUCUCAGAGCCUGAUGGACAAACUGACAUCUUGUCAUGGCAGCAGCAUAACAUGACUGGUUAAAACAAAUGCGAUAUUUAACUUGGGCCACACUUGUCACUACUGCCAAAAAUGUUAAAUUGAAAACAGAUUUUAUGAAGAUGUGAUCAGUUUUAAAACACAUAUGGUGUCUUAUUGUUAUUGGGUUUUUUGAUUGAACAGAGUACAGUUGUAGAGAACACUGGGAUAUUUACAGUAUAGUACUACCAAGCAUAAUAGGUGUUUGGUUAUAAACAGUACACCCCUUUUUACAACAUGUAAAAGGUUUAAGUAUUCCUCCUAAUCAAAAUCUGCUACAUUUCUUACACAUUAAAAUGGAAAAAGGUUUAUAAAUGUAAGUCUUAUUGCAAUGCAAUCCAAUGAUAUCUUUAAAGAGGGAGCUCUCUAUUAUAUUAACAUGUUGGGUAAAUAAUAGCACACUGUAUCUGGUUGUAAUUUACAUUACUUUCUUUGUACCCGUUUGUUUUCUGUUGAGAUUGGGUUAUGUAGUGAAUGAUGAGCAAUGAGAGUGGAGAGAGACCAGAAGAAUACAACGAGUAUUUCUGUUUUAAUGUUUCUGCAAAAACUGUGAUCCACUACACUUUGAAGACAUACCAAGACAAAAGUGAUGAUGAAUAGGAUAAUUCUUUAUGACCCACGGAGGAACAUAAAUGUUAAGUAACGUAUAUUUGUUUAGUUGAUUUUAUUAAUGAAGGCUUCUCAUUAUUUUUACCCAAGUAAAAUGCAUGUGGAAUUGGUGAUCGCUUUACCAAACUGCAACCUAAAGCAGACCCUAGGAAGUUAGCGAACAAUCUCAACUUUAGAACUCAUUUGAUCCUUUUGGUUUUCUUUUAUUUGUAACUGCACCUCAGCAAUGAGAAAAUUGCCAAGCUGCAUAAUGAUAACAAGAACUGCAUGUGUGGACAUACUGAACCUUGUUAGUGAGGUCCUGUACAAAGAAUUUUAUUACAUUUUGUAAAUAAAGACGGAUUUAAAAUGG